rnacentral:rRNA from 1 species
UACGGAGGGUGCUAGCGUUGUUCGGAAUUACUGGGCGUAAAGCGCGCGUAGGCGGCUUUGUAAGUUAGAGGUGAAAGCCCGGAGCUCAACUCCGGAACUGCCUUUAAAACUGCAUCGCUUGAAUCCAGGAGAGGUGAGUGGAAUUCCGAGUGUAGAGGUGAAAUUCGUAGAUAUUCGGAAGAACACCAGUGGCGAAGGCGGCUCACUGGACUGGUAUUGACGCUGAGGUGCGAAAGCGUGGGGAGCAAACAGG